CAGGCUCGGGCCUCACCUUCUCCACCGUGGCCUCAAAGGCUCCUUGCUCGUCCGAAAGGCCAGUAGCUGCAGCCUUGAUGGGAGGUGUGGCACCCUAUGAGAAAUCCAAAGAUAAUCCAGCAGUGAAAAACUAGGAGUCCAAAAUAUUCAGAUUCAGACUUGUAAAGACCUGUAGACUUAUAGCAUUUCCCCUAGUUAAAAGAAUAACAAAUAUAUAAGGGCAGAAGAAGUAAAAACAAAAGGAAAUGGAGAAGGCACCUCCACAGGCAUAGCAACAAUCAUGUGACCUGGCGCCCCAGGUUUCCAAGCAGCCAACCUGCAUGAACACAGACGCAGAGUUCCCAGGCACGGAGGACGCAAAGAGGCUGGCGGCUCAUUAAACAGUGGGUCCCGGGAGACAGAGACAGAGAAACUCCGCCUAUGAGUGAAAGUUCUGAAGUCCAGAGAAAGAAGGUAAUUCUUUCAGAGCUGCAGCCAGCGACAGCGCACAGACCUGGACUUCUGACACCCAGCCCCAUGACUCUAAUGCUACCGCACACAUUCUGACACCAUACCCCUAUUCUGUCUGAAGUGAAACUUCUUGUGAUUGCUUUGGGAAAUGAUAACUUAAUUAAAUCUGAGUUAGCUGUGG